GUGGGGAAUCUUAGACAAUGGGCGCAAGCCUGAUCUAGCCAUGCCGCGUGAGCGAUGAAGGCCUUAGGGUUGUAAAGCUCUUUCGUGGGGGAAGAUAAUGACUGUACCCCAAGAAGAAGCCCCGACUAACUCCGUGCCAGCAGCCGCGGUAAUACGGAGGGGGCUAGCGUUGUUCGGAAUUACUGGGCGUAAAGCGCACGUAGGCGGACUGGAAAGUCAGGGGUGAAAUCCCGGGGCUCAACCCCGGAACUGCCUUUGAAACUCCCAGUCUUGAGUUCGAGAGAGGUGAGUGGAAUUCCGAGUGUAGAGGUGAAAUUCGUAGAUAUUCGGAGGAACACCAGUGGCGAAGGCGGCUCACUGGCUCGAUACUGACGCUGAGGUGCGAAAGCGUGGGGAGCAAACAGGAUUAGAAACCCCAGUAGUCC
rnacentral:rRNA from 1 species